AUGGCUCAGGACGAACGCUGGCGGCGUGCCUAACACAUGCAAGUCGAGCGGGGACUGCGCGACGGACCUGAAGAUUUCGGUUGGAUGGGAAGAUGCACAGUUCUAGCGGCGGACGGGUGAGUAACGCGUGAGCAACCUGUCCCUUACAGGGGGAUAACACAGCGAAAGUUGUACUAAUACCGCAUAAGACCACGGCAUCACAUGGUGACGGGGUCAAAAGGAGCAAUCCGGUAAGGGGUGGGCUCGCGUCCGAUUAGAUAGUUGGUGAGGUAACGGCCCACCAAGUCGACGAUCGGUAGCCGACCUGAGAGGGUGAUCGGCCACAUUGGGACUGAGACACGGCCCAAACUCCGUACGGGGGCAGCAGGUGGGGAAUAUUGGGCAAUGGGGGAACCCUGACCCAGCAACGCCGCGUGAGGGAAGAAGGUUUUCGGAUCGUAAACCUCUGUCCUUGGUGAAGAGGAAGAGACGGUAGCCAAGGAGGAAGCCCCGGCUAACUACGUGCCAGCAGCAGC
rnacentral:rRNA from 1 species